CGCGUAGGCGGCCUGAUAAGUCGGGGGUGAAAUUCUGCGGCUUAACCGCAGAACGGCCUUCGAGACUGUCAGGCUGGAGCACGGUAGAGGCUGGUGGAAUUCCCGGUGUAGCGGUGGAAUGCGUAGAGAUCGGGAAGAACAUCGGUGGCGAAGGCGGCCAGCUGGGCCGUUGCUGACGCUGAGGCGCGACAGCGUGGGAGCAAACA
rnacentral:rRNA from 1 species